rnacentral:rRNA from 1 species
AACGAACGCUGGCGGCAGGCCUAACACAUGCAAGUCGAGCGGAUCCUUCGGGAUUAGCGGCGGACGGGUGAGUAACGCGUGGGAAUAUGCCCUUCUCUACGGAAUAGCCUCGGGAAACUGGGAGUAAUACCGUAUACGCCCUACGGGGGAAAGAUUUAUCGGAGAAGGAUUAGCCCGCGUUGGAUUAGGUAGUUGGUGGGGUAAUGGCCUACCAAGCCUACGAUCCAUAGCUGGUUUGAGAGGAUGAACAGCCACACUGGGACUGAGACACGGCCAAGACUCCUACAGGAGGCAGCAGUGGGGAAUCUUAGACAAUGGGGGAAACCCUGAUCUAGCCAUGCCGCGUGAGUGAUGAAGGCCUUAGGGUUGUAAAGCUCUUUCAGCUGGGAAGUUAAUGACGGUACCAGCACAAGAAGCCCCGGCUAACUCCGUGCCAGCCGCCGCGGUAAUAC